CCUUGUUUGUGGCAAAAGGUGUUGGCAACACCCCAACAUUUCUUCUCUCCCCAUCCUUCUGGAUCCUCCAGAUCUCAGCCCCACGGAUGCUAACCUGGCUUGUGGAGGUUUCACCAGACCCCGGGAGAUGAGAAUCCCAGGCAGGAAGACAGCAUGUGUUGUGGCCCAGAGGCGUGACAAUGGUGUGGCCUCCCUGGAGAAGGGUCCUCAUUUACAGAAGAGGAAACUGAGGCUUAAAAGGAUGAGAAGCGACUUGCCCAGCUGCCUGGGGAGCAGUAGAGCUGGCAUCAUGGACUCCGAUUCCACUGCCAUUUCUCUCUACUCUAUGCAUGUUGGUGGAGUUCACAGCCUUGACCACCUGCGGUCAGGAUUUCUGAGGCCCACCCAAAUUCAAGAAGAGAGAAUAUGUGGCCUCACCUCUCAGAGACGGAUGUGAGUGUCACACAAGAAGAAUGGGAUGGGAGCUGUUGCGGCCAUCUUUGGAAAAUAUAAAAUGUCACCGAGGGGGAAAGGUGCAUGUAAGAACUAUGCUCUGCCUCCUUUUUCCUCUUGCCAGUUGGAGCCAAAUCAUUCAGAUUUCCAGAUUGUGAGGAAUCCUUCAGCCCCCGUGGUAUAGCCACUGACACGCUAUCCAGCUGCCACAGUUGUGGGUGUUGAACCCUACCGUUUCCCUUGGGCCUUCAGUGGAACCACGUGGAUCUCCCCGGGGCCUCCAGGAGGAGAAACUUGCUCUGUCUCCUUGGCCAGGAAAGGUGAAGCUGUGCGACCUAGAACACACACUCCUGACCUCUCUGAGCCGCUCCUAGUAGCAGCCUGUGAGCUGCUUGUCUCACUAAGUAGCUAGGAAAUAACAGCAUGAAAGUGCCUCAGAAAGGAACUAUCAGUGGCUGUACAGUUACUACACAUCGUUAGUAAUAACGGCACUCCCCUCCCAAGACGACAGCAGAAGGGGAUUCAGCAGCAGAAGGCACAUGCUCUUUUGCUUCUGGGUGCCAGCAAACCCUUCAUUGAGCAUGUAUUGAGCAUCUGCUGUAUAUCAGGGCCUGGGCAGCACCGUGGACACAAUAAUGCACUCGGUGUGCACAGCUCUGCCCUCAAAGGCCCCCCAUGUUGGCUGUUCCAGAAACACAGGAGCUGGGGAGGUGGCAUCAAAGCAGAGACCUAAAAGAUACUGAAGAAUUAGCCGAAUGGAAAAGACAGGGUGAUUUCCUGACAGAGGA